CAAUGGAUAGUUUACCUAGUAAAAUACCUGCCUUUCAUGCAUGAGACCCUGGGUUCAAGCCCCAGUACUGUGG
rnacentral:tRNA from 1 species